UACGAGUGCUCCAAGCGUUAUCCGGAAUCAUUGGGCGUAAAGGGUGUGUAGGCGGUUGUGUUAGUCUUCUGUUAAAUUCUUCGGCUUAACCGGGGGCAUGCAGAGGAAACGGCACAACUAGAGGAUGCGAGAGGUGAAUGGAACUCAUGGAGUAGGGGUGAAAUCCGUUGAUAUCAUGGGGAACACCAAAUGCGAAGGCAAUUCACUGGCGCACUCCUGACGCUGAGACACGAAAGCGUAGGUAGCGAAUGGG
rnacentral:rRNA from 1 species